rnacentral:rRNA from 1 species
CCCUAUGGGGUGCAGCAGGCGAGAAAACUUUGCAAUGUGCGAAAGCACGACAAGGUUAAUCCGAGUGUUUUCUGCUAAAGAAAUCUUUUGUUAGUCCUAAAAACACUGAUGAAUAAGGGGUGGGCAAGUUCUGGUGUCAGCCGCCGCGGUAAAACCAGCACCUCAAGUGGUCAGGAGGAUUAUUGGGCCUAAAGCAUCCGUAGCCUGCUUUGUAAGUUUUCGGUUAAAUCCAUAUGCUCAACAUAUGGGCCGCCGGGAAUACUGCACAGCUAGGGAGUGGGAGAGGUAGACGGUACUCGGUAGGAAGGGGUAAAAUCCUUUGAUCUAUUGAUGACCACCAGUGGCGAAGGCGGUCUACCAGAACACGUCCGACGGUGAGGGAUGAAAGCUGGGGGAGCAAACCGGAUUAGAUACCCGGGUAGUCCCAGCUGUAAACUAUGCAAACUCGGUGAUGCGUUGGCUUGUAGCCAGUGCAGUGCCGCAGGGAAGCCGUUAAGUUUGCCGCCUGGGAAGUACGUACGCAAGUAUGAAACUUAAAGGAAUUGGCGGGGGAGCACCACAAGGGGUGAAGCCUGCGGUUCAAUUGGAGUCAACGCCAGAAAUCUUACCCGGAGAGACAGCAGAAUGAAGGUCAAGCUGAAGACUUUACCAGACAAGCUGAGAGGUGGUGCAUGGCC